CUCUUCUCACUGCUCUUUCUGUCUCUCUUCAUUUCUUUUCUCUCACAAUCUUCUUCAGUGCUCUCUUCUCUCUCUCUUCUCAGAUUUGUGCUGAGUUAUGUGACUGUAAGAUGUCACAGAGAACACAGUCUUUUCUUCACUCUUCUCUUUAUUUUUCUUUUCAGAACACUUAUUUUUUCUCUUUUCUUUUGUCUAUCUCAUCUGUUUUUUCUCUGCUGUUAGAAGCACAGACAGUUUUCAGAUCAACUGAGAGAGUUAUCUCUCUUCAUUCACUGUAAAGUCUUUCAGACACAGCAGCAGCAGUUUCCCUUGAGAAUCACACUAUAACUCCAUCAUGAAUGAUCAUACAUUGAGUC
rnacentral:sRNA from 1 species